UACGUAGGGUGCGAGCGUUGUCCGGAAUUACUGGGCGUAAAGAGCUCGUAGGUGGUUUGUCGCGUUGUCCCGUGAAAACUCACAGCUCAACUGUGGGCGUGCGGGCGAUACGGGCAGACUGGAGUACUGCAGGGGAGACUGGAAUUCCUGGUGUAGCGGUGGAAUGCGCAGAUAUCAGGAGGAACACCGGUGGCGAAGGCGGGUCUCUGGGCAGUAACUGACGCUGAGGAGCGAAAGCGUGGGGAGCGAACAGG
rnacentral:rRNA from 1 species